rnacentral:rRNA from 1 species
GCAGCACAGUAAGAGCUUGCUCUUACGGGUGGCGAGUGGCGGACGGGUGAGGAAUACAUCGGAAUCUACUUUUUCGUGGGGGAUAACGUAGGGAAACUUACGCUAAUACCGCAUACGACCUACGGGUGAAAGCAGGGGAUCUUCGGACCUUGCGCGAUUGAAUGAGCCGAUGUCGGAUUAGCUAGUUGGCGGGGUAAAGGCCCACCAAGGCGACGAUCCGUAGCUGGUCUGAGAGGAUGAUCAGCCACACUGGAACUGAGACACGGUCCAGACUCCUACGGGAGGCAGCAGUGGGGAAUAUUGGACAAUGGGCGCAAGCCUGAUCCAGCCAUACCGCGUGGGUGAAGAAGGCCUUCGGGUUGUAAAGCCCUUUUGUUGGGAAAGAAAUCCA